GAUUUAUGUAGAGCUCACAGAUUGGUUCCAUCAGGUGUGACAUUUACAUAGCCCAGGGAAGGCUGGCCACCCUACCCUAAUCUUAUUAUGUAACUGAACUUUCCCCUUGGCCAGGGCCAUCUUGUCUGCUCCUUACUGUACAUGUGGCUGGCAGAGAAGGGAAGGUGGAGCCGCUAUUUUGAACAUGAUUGGCACAACUGCCAGCAUCUAUAUCUGCAGCUUGAUUUUACAGGCUGCUCUUUGUUAGAAAGGAACAUGAUUUGGGGCUACUUUUCAUUAAAAGGAAAACUGUACCGAAGACUUCCAUACCCUCACUAUCUGUGGAAUCCCUGGAAAGAAAUGAAGCUUCACACUCAGAAUAUCACAUUUAGUGAUUUCAGGAGACCAGCAGAAUAGGAAUUAAGCUGGAACUCCUAUACAGUUUAUUUUCUAGGUUUGGGACCUCUGCGUACCUCCUGUGGCUUUAUGGUACCUGGUAUUGUUUCCCCAGACCAUGAGUCUCCAGUGUUGGAGUGCCCACUUCAGAAGUCUGUGUGUUUUGCUUCAUCCUGAGGAUCCCAUCUUGGAUACCACAUUACCUUAAACACUGCCUCAGCCAGGUGAUCAAGGUCAACGUCUACUGUGAUAAGUCAUGGUUUUGGUGUGUACCCUUGAUGUGAUGUGAUAAAAAUGGCACUUUACCUCUGUGGUCUUCCUCUGAAAAAUCCCGUAACAGCAGCCUAAUCAUGAGAAGCAUAUCAACAAAACUCAGACUCAGGGACAUUCUACAAAAUACCAGGCUGUCCCUCCCUGAAAUUGUCAAGUUCACCAAAAACAAGGUGAAUCUAAGAAACCUGUUACAGCCAAGAGGAGCCUAAGAAGACAUGAGGACUAAAUAUAACAUGGAAUUCGGGAUAGGAUUGUGCUACAGAAAAUGUAUGUGCUAAUGUGAGAUGUUAACAGUUGGAGAAACUCAGUUUUGGGUAUAAGGAAUUCUCUGUACUAUGUUUAUCUAAAAACAAUUCCAUGGUGAGCAAACUUAAGCAUAGAAAUGUUAAAUAAAUUGUCCAAAAUAGAGAAGUAAAUAGCAGUGCCAGGUUUCAAGCAUAAGAAUCAUCAACUCUGAACUUUAAACACAGCUCUGUAUGGUACUUUUGUUUAUAUCAAUGCCUAGAUAGAUAAAUAGGUAGAUAGAUAAUUUCCAAGUGCUAGAAACAAAAAAGGAACUAAAACUGAUAAAGAAUAUA
rnacentral:lncRNA from 1 species